CCUGCGGGAGGAUCAUUGU
rnacentral:rRNA from 1 species